rnacentral:rRNA from 1 species
ACGCACGCUGGCGGCGUGCUUCACCCAUGCAAGUCGAACGGAAAGGCCCUGCUUUUGUGGGGUGCUCGAGUGGCGAACGGGUGAGUAACACGUGAGUAACCUGCCCUUGACUUUGGGAUAACUUCAGGAAACUGGGGCUAAUACCGGAUAGGAGCUCCUGCUGCAUGGUGGGGGUUGGAAAGUUUCGGCGGUUGGGGAUGGACUCGCGGCUUAUCAGCUUGUUGGUGGGGUAGUGGCUUACCAAGGCUUUGACGGGUAGCCGGCCUGAGAGGGUGACCGGCCACAUUGGGACUGAGAUACGGCCCAGACUCCUACGGGAGGCAGCAGUGGGGAAUAUUGCACAAUGGGCGGAAGCCAGAUGCAGCAACGCCGCGUGCGGGAUGACGGCCUUCGGGUUGUAAACCGCUUUCGCCUGUGACGAAGCGUGAGUGACGGUAAUGGGUAAAGAAGCACCGGCUAACUACGUG